UAUGCGAUUGAGACAAAAGACAGCAGUUCCUCUACUUUUUCUCUCGGCUCUCUUUUCUCAAUUUGUUACUUUACUAGAGUUUGCAGACUGUGAGUGGUGAGACAAAAGUUGAUUUGCCGAGGAUUUGAGGGUAAUGGCUGCAGAGUGGGAUGGAAACUGAACAGACUUUUUGGAGCAGAUUUGAAGAAUAAAUAUCACGUCCGGGAAAUCUGCCGUGAAGUAUAGAGGUGGAGGAGGAAUUGGGCUCAAAAGAAAAUAAGCAUCUCCCACUUAUUUAAUUAUUUGGACUCAUUUAGUUGUAGAGCCCAAAGCCAAUUGUAAUAAACAUUGGACUUUAUAAUUAUUUGAGAAGUUCAAAUAUUUACUUUUUGCA